rnacentral:rRNA from 1 species
ACGACUCUCGGCAACGGAUAUCUCGGCUCUCGCAUCGAUGAAGAACGCAGCGAAAUGCGAUACUUGGUGUGAAUUGCAGAAUCCCGUGAACCAUCGAGUCUUUGAACGCAAGUUGCGCCCGAGGCCUACUGGCCGAGGGCACGUCCGCCUGGGCGUCACGC